UACGAAGGGGGCUAGCGUUGUUCGGAAUUACUGGGCGUAAAGAGCGUGUAGGCGGAUUAGCAAGUCAGAGGUGAAAGCCCAGGGCCUAACCUUGGAACUGCCUUUGAAACUGCUAGUCUCGAGACUCGGAGGGGGAAGUGGAAUUCCUAAUGUAGGGGUGAAAUCCGUAGAUAUUAGGAGGAACACCUGUGGCGAAGGCGGCUUCCUGGACGAGUACUGACGCUGAGACGCGAAAGCGUGGGGAUCAAACAGG
rnacentral:rRNA from 1 species